AUACCCGAUCUCGUCUGAUCUCGGAAGUCAAGCAAUCUCGGGCUUGGUUAGUACUUGGAUGGGUGACCGCUUGGGAAUACCAAGUGUGAUAAGUA
rnacentral:rRNA from 1 species